CCAGUUCCCACUGAAUGGUUUAUAACCUGUAUUGCAUGAGUAGUAGAUUUUUCCCUCAUUUAUGGAGGCUCUGUAUAUGAACCUGUUUUUCAAGGAUGGAAUAAUGCAAAAUACUUCCUUUGCUGUGGGGAAAUAACAAACUGUAUUAACACAAAGUCAUUUCAUUUAAUUGGUUUCUGAGUUAUCAAAGGGAAGAUUAUAAUUAUUUGAUUGGAUAAUGACAUUAAAUGUAAUUUAAGGCUCUCGCAUUGUCAACAAACUGUAACUUGCCGGGUGCAGUGCUGUAUGCCUGUCCAUUGGCCCUGGGAAUUACAGGUGAUUUGUACACGCUGCUCUGGUUCAAAUCCAGAGUGACAUUUAUAUACUAUUCUGUAACAGACUUCAUAGUUUUGUCUCCGAUCUCCCUCAAUCUCUGAAUUUGGGAUUUUUGGUGCUUCACACGUAAUUUCUGUAAAACUUUCGACCAUUGUGCAUUUUAAGUCUAGGCCUUCAGUGCGAUUCAUGCUAUUAAGAAAACACAGUUUCACAAUAAAUAAGAUGCUAUGCCUAUUAUACAUUACAGGGCAGUCUACUAAUAAUACCAACUGACAUUUUAAAAACACUGGAGUUUGGUUUUGGUUAACUGCCAUUUGAUGUAAAUGUGGUCCUCCUAAUGUAAAUAAAAUUUCAUGGCGAUCAAGUGUGUAAGAGUUCGCACUGGACCACUCCCACAAACUAUAUUACAAUUUAUGGCCAUUAUUAAAUAACAAAAAAAUAAAAAAAACCUCAAUAUGGUAACUAUUACUGUAUUUUUUCUACAGACAGCUUUGCAGCAAAAACAGCCAGGUCUCAUGAACAUUACAUGACGACGUGGCAACAUUUUUGCAAAACGAAUUUGUGCUUCAUUAUACGUUUCACUGCCGCUCCGGACUCCCCACAACAGCUCGUCUAGCCCGGGAUCAUCUCUCCUUCUCCCAACGCUGUUCCUCAACCACCAGCGGUGAAUUGGGGUCGCCAAGUUCUACACUUGGAAACUUCUUCACCCAGGCGCUGCUGCCAGAUUAUUUCUUCUCCCCCUCCCUCAAGAUCCUCUCAUACCUCCUCAUCCAUAGCCUCUUUCAUAUCUGAUCGCCAAGCCAUACCCUGCAUUGCCAAGUGAACGAUAAUAGCUUAAGAUACACAUUCUCGCAGUCACAGAUAUUCAGUUUCCUUGGCAUUCAAACAAUGCCCAGCUCUACGACCUACUCGUUGCUUCUAAAUGCGGUGAUUCACCCACCCCACCAACAACGGCUCAACCCACUAAACACUCUAAAUCAGCAGCUCUCAACCCAAAAACUUCAGAAAUACCUGGAAUUCUGUCUCAGCCACCCAGCACCAGCGGAAACAUUCACACCGUGGUUACUAUGGAAGUAUGGUGCCUGCGAAGAACCGCCAGUUGUGAAGCAUGCAUCAUUAUCACCUCCCCCGCUGAGCUCCCUCCUCCUUCUCUCUCUCUCCAAUCUACAAUGGCAAAUCUUCACUCAAAAGAACUCUCAUUCGGGGGGGGCCUGGGUAGCUCAGUGAGCAAAGACACUGACUACCACCCCUGGAGUCGCAAGUUCGAAUCCAGGGUGUGCUGAGUGUCUCCAGCCAGGUCUCCUAAGCAACCAAAUUGGCCCGGUUGCUAGGGAGGGUAGAGUCACAUGGGGUAACCUCCUCGUGGUCACUAGUGGUUCCUGCUCUCAGUGGGGCACGUGGCAAGUUGUGCGUGGAUCGCGGAGGGUAGCAUGAGCCUUCACAUGCGGAGUCUCCGCGGUGUCACACACAACGAGCCACAUGAUAAGAUGUGUGGAUUGACUGUUUCAGAAGUGGAGGCAACUGAGACUUGUCCUCUGCCACCCUGAUUGGUGUGAGUAACCGCGCCACCAUGAGGGCCUACUAAGUAGUGGAAAUUGGGAGAAAAGGGGAUAAAUAAAGAAAAAGAAAAAGAACUCUCAGCUAACCCAUCUCCCAACAUGCAGUCAGUUCACCACCUGGCCAUCCUCCCCAUUCUUCAAUGACAGCCCUUUCAAAUGCCUCCACUUUUUCCACACAACCUACUCUUUCUGCCAACUUCCAUCCCUCUAUCCCUUCCUAUCAAUGGGCCACUGGAAUGGAUUCCCAAGUGAGGCUGCCUCCGCUGGAUAACUCCGCUCCAGACCCAUUCCCCUCUUCACUUUAUCCCCCUCCUUUCUACCAUUCUGACCUUCCCUACUCCAGAAUUGUUCCCUGCAUGAGGUCUAACUCAAACCUUCCAGCUCACCAUCCCAAAUUUACACUUCAAACAGCCAUACCUCUUGCCAUUUUCCCAAAUGCUGGCAUCGCAGAACCUCCACCAGUCUCCAACCACCUUCCUAGCAGGUGCAGACAUAGACCUCUCUUCUUUACUUUAAGCAAUCCCUCACAACAACAUGGUUAGAACCUCAAAGACCCCUCUCCCAGCUCUUCUCACACGCUCACUUUCGCCGAAUUUUGCAUCACCUUCGGAUGGUAUACUGAAGAUAUAUGCUCCAUGUUUCCACACAGACGGCGUGAGCUUAACGACUACCAAUUUAUCAUCGCCAAACUAUCACUCUCUUAUGGCGGCAGUCAUUUUUUAAUUUAUCACAAGCUUUUUCAGCAAAAUGUGCAGCAAGAGAAGCACAGUGGAACCAAUGCCAGUACUGGUGUGUGCUAGAUUUAGAUCUUCAUAAUAGUGUUCCUGGGAUGCAAGAGCAUUUCAUGUGCCGUCUGCAGGUCGACCAAGCACAAUCACACCUCCCAACCUGUCGAUUCCACAAACAAACCAACUAACUAUGUAUCUCAACCCAGUAGCAGCCUGUCAGAAUCUUCUAUCAAAGAUAACAAAGGCAGAUCAGUGAACUUUUCAGCAGGCAAACAAAUCUGUAAUAACUUCAAUGAAUUUGGAUGCUACAAAUCACAGUGCCGUUUACAGCACAUCUGCAACUUCUGCGGAAGAGCUCACGCUUUCUCCGUAUGCCCUGUUAAAUAAUCCUCAAUAAAUACAACGUUUAGAAAGUACCUCAGCACUCCUGUCAUCAUUUUGCAUUAGCCAAAGAAUUGGCCAACUAUCCAGACAAGUCUUUCACCUAAUUCCUAUUGUCCGGGUUAAAAACGGUUUCAACCCCGGGUUAGAGAGUCUGCUUAUCUCAAAUCUCAUCUGCCAUAAUUCACAAUCAGCCCUCGCCGAACACAAAGUAGUUGAUAACCUCUUAAGUAAAGAAUAUUUUUGCAUCAAUCACAUCGGAGUAGCCAUCAGAAAAUAUUCGGGGGAAAAACUCAGAAUGGACCUCUCAGCCCCCCAUGACGGGCCACACCCGAGCAUAAACAGUCUGAUUUCAAUUGACGAAUACUCUCUCUGCUCUCUCCGCCAUCACGCCGUCAAUCAAGCAAUCCAAAUGAUAAAAAGUUGGCAGGAAUGCAUAGCUCGCUAAAGUUGACAUAACUUCAGCUUUUAAAAGCAUGCCCCUGCACCCCAAUUUCUGGCACCUCUUUGGAACAACAAGUUUUACUCUGCUGUCCACCUCACUUUCGGCUUCAAAAGCAGCCCCAAAAUAUUUGACAUGCUAUCCGAAGUGACCUGCUGGGUACUGUCAAAUAAUCACUCCAUGCCUUACCUCAUCCAUCUGCUUGACAAUUUCUUCACCGUCUCGCCUCACAAUUCUCCCCCGGCUCUCCACCUAACCGUAGUUAUGAAAGUAUUCUCCAAUAUAUAGUAGGAAUUCCUAUCGCUUAAGUAAAAACCACCAGUCCAUCCACUUCCAUUGAAUUUCUAGGCAUCCAACUCGAUACAGCUAAAUUUCUCCCUUCUCUUCCCCCCUCCUCGGCAAUCUAAAUUUCGCAUGUGUAUCAUCCCCCAAGGCUGCUCGUUCAUCUCACACCUCCUCUCUCUAGCUUCAUCCAUCUACUCCCUAAACUCCACCGUAACCCUAGAUCCAGCAUGCCAGGCAGACUUACAACUAUGGUUAACUUUUCUAAGCCAUUGGAACAGCCUUUCUUUUUGACGAAAAGACGAAGACGAUUUCAUCUCCUCCCAUGACGAUAUUCAAUUAUACACUGAUGCAGCUCCAUCUAUCAGAUUUGGAGGUUAUUACCAGGGUUGAUGGUUUGUAUCCACCUGGUCCCCCAAUCUGAUCAACUCACCCCCCCACUCCGCCCUGUUCGAACUUUAUCGCAUCAUGGUAGCAGCCUACCUCUGGGGGUCAGAAUGGACAUGAAAAAUAUUGUAGUCUACUGCGACAACCAAGCCACUGUACAGUGCAUUAACAAAGGCAGAUCCCGUUUGCCAGAAUUGUUGCUAUUUCUAAAGGCACCUAAUUUGGAUCUCCAUCCAUAACCAAUUUAUAAUCUAAAGCACAACAUAUUCCAGGCUCAAAAAACAGAUUGCUGACUCACUUUCUUGCUUUUCCUUCCAGAGAUUCAGAGCCUUGGCUCCAGAAGUGAACCUGACACCCCCCCUAGUUCCUCCAUGUUCAGAACUGAAAUUCCUUUAAAUCACCCUCUCAAACUCCUCCACCACACAUCUCCAAGCCAUUUCCCCCUGAAUCCUCCAAGCAUACUGGACUGCCUGGAAAUGCUUCUAAACUUUCCACCUAAUUUACAAAUGACCAUUUCCAGACUUUUCUCUUCUCUCUCUAUCUUCUUUCGCCUCACACCUCAAUCAAACCAAAAACCUCUAUCCUGGAACUGUUGAAGGGUACUUAAGCGACAUCAAUUUCUUCUAUAAAUGAAUUUUCGGCAAAAACUCCUCCACAAUAAGCCACCCCCAGAUCUCACUUCUAGUCAAGGGUAUUCAUAAAGCCCAACCCACCAGAAUCGAUACUAGGCAACCACUUACCAUCAAUUUUCGAACUCUAUGCCCAAAUACUCUCCGCCAGGGCUGUGUGUCUACAAAUACCUCCAAAACCCUAGACACAAAAUUUGAUCCAAGAAUCCAUCCCACCAUGUCAGACCUUCAUAUCCUAGACAAUGAUACAAUCAGAUACUACAUCAAACAAAGCAAAACAGACCAAGCUCAGGUCAAGUCUCGAGCCUCGUGCCCUUUGCCCAGCACAGCGAGCCAAACAUGUUUACACAAUCCCCAAUGCAGCAUUAUAUUAACUUGCAAACUACUGAACUGAUAGUGUGGAAAUAGGCAAAAGCGACAGGAAAAGCACAUUUUCUGAAGCAACCAUGUCAUUUUGUGUCACUUCUAUGACAGUUUCAGCUCAGCUUGCAUGCUUGUCUUGGCUUGUCUGGACUUGAGCCUCUGUCCUCUGAAUCUAAAGUCCAUCACUCUAUCAGGUGGAGCCGGCAUGCGUGAUCAACAUUCCAUGGAACGCUGACUUAUCUCGGGGAGACGCUGAUCAUGGCAAUUAAUUACUCACCCGUUUCCACUAACUUCUGAUUGCAAUCCCUACUUAUUCCUUGCGUUUCCCCUCUUUUUUUUUACAUUCGUAAAAAUCUUUCUUGGUGUUCCACAGAAGACAGUUUUACUAGUUUGAGACAGCAUAAGGACAGAUGCUUCAGACAGGGGGCUGGGGGCUGUACUCUCGCAGGUGGUGGAGGGGGAGGAGCGCCCGGUGCUGUGGGGAUAUGUGGCAGCGGGGGCGUGGUCAAGCAUCUCUCCGGAGAGAGAAAGCGGUAAGGGCGCUUACACCUGAGCUAAAUUAUGUCUAACACCUGUCUCUAAUUUCAGUGAGCACGGGGAGAGCGGCAUAAAUAGAGCGACACAACACUCAGUCGAGAGAGAGACUGGAUACGACAGAGCCGAGCCAGAGCAAGGAUUUUCUAAUAGUGAGAGUUUAUUUGUGGAAGCAGUGUGUGUUAGUGUUUAGUUAGUGCAUAAAGGUAAACUGUAAAGUGGUGUCGAGGAAGAGUGGAAAUAAAGCCUCACCUGAAGAAGGAAAACUGCUUCUCGCGUCUUCUUUUACAAU